UAGCUCAGUUGGCAGAGCGCAAGGCUCUUAACCUUAAGAUUGUGGGUUCGAGCCCCAC
rnacentral:tRNA from 1 species